rnacentral:rRNA from 1 species
UGCAGUCGCGUGCGCAGUUCCGUAGCAAUACGGGAUGGGCGCACGGCGCACGGGUGCGUAACACGUGGGCAAUCUGCCCUCUGAUGGGGAAUAACCCGCCGAAAGGCGGGCUAAUUCCGCAUAAGAUUCCCGGAACUUCGGUUCUGGGAUUGAAAGCAGUAAUGCGUCGGAGGAGGAGCCCGCGCCCGAUUAGCUAGUUGGUGAGGUAACGGCUCACCAAGGCAAUGAUCGGUAGCUGGUCUGAGAGGAUGAUCAGCCACACUGGAACUGAGACACGGUCCAGACUCCUACGGGAGGCAGCAGUGGGGAAUCUUGCACAAUGGGCGAAAGCCUGAUGCAGCGACGCCGCGUGGGGGAUGAAGCAUUUCGGUGUGUAAACCCCUUUCGACUGGGAAGAAUGCCUCGCAAGAGGAGUGACGGUACCAGUAGAAGAAGCCCCGGCUAACUACGUGCCAGCAGCCGCGGUAAGACGUAGGGGGCCAGCGUUGUUCGGAAUUACUGGGUGUAAAGGGUUCGUAGGCGGUGCGGCAAGUUGGGAGCGAAAUCUCUGGGCUUAACCCAGAGGCUGCUUCCAAAACUGCUGUGCUCGAGUGUGAGAGAGGCUCGUGGAAUUGCGGGUGUAGCGGUGAAAUGCGUAGAUAUCUGCAGGAACACCCGUGGCGAAAGCGGCGAGCUGGAUCACUACUGACGCUGAGGAACGAAAGCUAGGGGAGCAAACAGGAUUAGAUACCCUGGUAGUCCUAGCCCUAAACGAUCAGGACUUGGGGUGCCGCCCGUUCGGGCGUCGUCCCGGAGCUACGCGUUAAGUCCUGCACCUGGGGGAGUACGGUCGCAAGACUGAAACUCAAAGGAAUUGACGGG